AACGUAGGAGACAAACGUUAUCCGGAGUUACUGGGCGUAAAGGGCGUGUAGGUGGUUUCGUAAGUCUGGCGUGAAAUAUCUCGGCUUAACCGAGGCAGGUCGUCGGAUACUGCGGGACUAGAGGACGGUAGAGGCGUGUGGAAUUCCGGGUGUAGUGGUGAAAUGCGUAGAGAUCCGGAGGAACCCCAGAGGCGAAGGCGGCGUCCUGGCUCGCAUCUGACGCUCAGACACGACAGCAUGGGGAGCGAACGGG
rnacentral:rRNA from 1 species